UACGUAGGGUGCAAGCGUUGUCCGGAAUUAUUGGGCGUAAAGAGCUCGUAGGCGGUCUGUCGCGUCUGCUGUGAAAACUCGGGGCUUAACCCCGGGCCUGCAGUGGGUACGGGCAGACUAGAGUGCGGUAGGGGAGAUUGGAAUUCCUGGUGUAGCGGUGGAAUGCGCAGAGUAUCAGGAGGAACACCGAGUGGCGAAGGCCAGAUCUCUGGGCCGUAACUGACGCUGAGAGCGAAAGCGUGGG
rnacentral:rRNA from 1 species